rnacentral:rRNA from 1 species
UACAGAGGGGGCAAGCGUUGUUCGGAAUUACUGGGCGUAAAGGGCGCGUAGGUGGCCUUCUAAGUUGAACGUGAAAUCCCUGGGCUCAACCCAGGAACUGCGUCCAAGACUGGGAGGCUUGAAUCCGGGAGAGGGAUGCGGAAUUCCAGGUGUAGCGGUGAAAUGCGUAGAUAUCUGGAGGAACACCGGUGGCGAAGGCGGCACUCUGGGCCGGUACUGACGCUGAGGAGCGAAAGCGUGGGGAGCGAACAGG